UCAGCAGUGCUAAAGUGCUUAUAGUGCAGGUAGUAUUUCUGUCAUCUACUGCAGUGUGAGCACUUGAAGUACUUCUAG
rnacentral:pre_miRNA from 1 species